AGAGUUUGAUCAUGGCUCAGAACAAACGCUGGCGGCGUGCUUAACACAUGCAAGUCGUACGAGAAAGUCCGCUUCGGCGGAUGAGUAAAGUGGCGCACGGGUGCGUAACACGUGGGUAAUCUGCCCUUCAGUGGGGAAUAACUCGCCGAAAGGCGGGCUAAUACCGCAUAAUACCGUUUCCACCCCGGUGGGACGGUCAAAGACAGCCUCUGUUUACAAGCUGUCGCUGAAGGAUGAGCCCGCGGCCUAUCAGCUAGUUGGUGGGGUAAUGGCUCACCAAGGCUGUGACGGGUAGCUGGUCUGAGAGGAUGGCCAGCCACACUGGAACUGAGACACGGUCCAGACUCCUACGGGAGGCAGCAGUGGGGAAUCUUGGGCAAUGGGGGCAACCCUGACCCAGCGACGCCGCGUGAGUGAGGAAGGUCUUCGGAUCGUAAAGCUCUGUCGGAUGGGAAGAAAUGUGUGGAAGUGAGCAGCUUCCAUGCUUGACGGUACCAUCAGAGGAAGCACCGGCUAACUCCGUGCCAGCAGCCGCGGUAAUACGGGGGGUGCAAGCGUUGUUCGGAAUCAUUGGGCGUAAAGGGCGUGUAGGCGGCUGGAUAAGUCAGAUGUGAAAUCCCUGGGCUUAACCCAGGAAGUGCAUUUGAAACUGUCCGGCUUGAGUGAGGGAGAGGAAAGUGGAAUUCCUGGUGUAGAGGUGAAAUUCGUAGAUAUCAGGAGGAACACCGGUGGCGAAGGCGACUUUCUGGCCCUAUACCGACGCUGAGACGCGAAAGCGUGGGGAGCAAACAGGAUUAGAUACCCUGGUAGUCCACGCUGUAAACGAUGUUCACUAGGUGUUGGGGGGUAUUGACCCCCUCAGUGCCGUAGCUAACGCAUUAAGUGAACCGCCUGGGGAGUACGGUCGCAAGACUAAAACUCAAAUGAAUUGACGG
rnacentral:rRNA from 1 species